UGCCAGCCGCCGCGGUAAUACGGAGGGUGCAAGCGUUGUUCGGAUUUACUGGGCGUAAGGGCGCGUAGGCGGAUUGGAAAGUCGGUUGUGAAAGCCCGGGGCUCAACUCCGGAAUUGCUUCCGAAACUGCCAGUCUGGAGGACGAGAGGGGAGAGUGGAACAUCUGGUGGAGCGGUGAAAUGCGUAGAUAUCAGAUGGAACACCGGUGGCGAAGGCGACUCUCUGGCUCGUUUCUGACGCUAAGGUGCGAAAGCUAGGGUAGCGAACGGGAUUAGAUA
rnacentral:rRNA from 1 species